AGUGGCGGACGCGUGAGUAAUGUCUGGGAAACUGCCUGAUGGAGGGGGAUAACUACUGGAAACGGUAGCUAAUACCGCAUAACGUCGCAAGACCAAAGAGGGGGACCUUCGGGCCUCUUGCCAUCAGAUGUGCCCAGAUGGGAUUAGCUAGUAGGUGGGGUAACGGCUCACCUAGGCGACGAUCCCUAGCUGGUCUGAGAGGAUGACCAGCCACACUGGAACUGAGACACGGUCCAGACUCCUACGGGAGGCAGCAGUGGGGAAUAUUGCACAAUGGGCGCAAGCCUGAUGCAGCCAUGCCGCGUGUAUGAAGAAGGCCUUCGGGUUGUAAAGUACUUUCAGCGGGGAGGAAGGUGAUGAGGUUAAUAACCUCGUCAAUUGACGUUACCCGCAGAAGAAGCACCGGCUAACUCCGUGCCAGCAGCCGCGGUAAUACGGAGGGUGCAAGCGUUAAUCGGAAUUACUGGGCGUAAAGCGCACGCAGGCGGUCUGUCAAGUCGGAUGUGAAAUCCCCGGGCUCAACCUGGGAACUGCAUUCGAAACUGGCAGGCUAGAGUCUUGUA
rnacentral:rRNA from 1 species